rnacentral:tRNA from 1 species
GACCUUGUGGCGCAACGGUAGCGCGUCUGACUCCAGAUCAGAAGGUUGCGUUUCCAAAUCACGUCAGGGUCA